GUGUUUUUUUUUUUUUACAGGUUUGGUGACAUUCAGCACAGGAUACAGACAGUGAACAACAUUAAUGAACACUUGGAACCAAUAUGGAGGUGAGCCAAGACCACACACUUGAUGUGUGAAGUGCAUUUGCAUGCAAGGGUCACAUGGGAAACAACAAGAGGGUAUGGUUCAGGUAAGAACUCUUUACACCAGUCCAUCAUACAGUGACAGUGCCUGUACAAUUGAUGGAUCAGACUUGGAGCCCUCACGGAAUUCCUCCAUUGACAACUUGCCAUCAGCAUUCUGUGGAAUAGAACAUAGCAUUUCGACAAAGCAGCACUGAAGAAGAAGUUCAAGAGAGAAGAAUUCAAGUCCAUUAUAAAGUAUUUGACAGAAAUAAGAGUAACUAAUUUAUUAAUUUAAAAACCAAAAUUAACAAACAGUAUAUUCUAAGAUACAUAACUUGUUCUAAGUCAAGGUUAAACAGAGAAUGAAAAGACUCACACAGUCAGUAAUCCUCCUUACUCUCUACCAUACAUUUCUUAUGAUGUUGCUUUAAAGAAUUUGGUAUUGGAUCAACUAAUAAUCCCCUAAUUGAUAUUUUUCCAUAUUCACAUCAAUUGUCUUCUGAAUAUUGUAUUAACAUUGCUAGGAGAAAUUCUGUUUUGGUCACUCAUGGGAGUUCAAGGGUUAAUCAUUGGACUAAUUUAUAUUUUAUCUCAAAAUCUGUAGGCUGUGUAUACACUUAACUCUUCGUGGAGAAGGAAAUAAAUAAAUUAGAGCAGGCAUGAUUAAAUUUCAAAUCCUGAGAAUUUGAGUUUAUCUAUACAAUUAACAUACUUAGACAAAUUUAUGAAAUAUUCCUUUCUAUGUGUCUUUUUAAUGUAAUUAAAUGUAUUUACUGUACAUACAGUAUCCAUUUGAUUAAAAAUUCUAUUCACUCUCUUUUCUGGAGUAUCUUCAUCCUCAGGUAACUUUACCAUGGUGGCCUGUAAAAGAGUAAAUUCUGUAAGGUUGUUUUACAUACUGAAUCAAAAUUAGUUGUUAAAAUAUCUACACUGGUUGCCAGUAUUCCAAUCCUCAUGGCUAAAACUUGUGUGUUGACCCUUUACCCCUAUUGCAUCACAUUCAGUAUGUAUAUUCUCACUGCUGUUCUUUAUAAUUUCCUGAGGUGCUGACAAGGAGAAUUUGUUUAAUAAUCAAGAGCUUCUUUAGUAGGUGAUCAUUUCUUUUAUUAUUGAGACCUUAAGGAAAGAUUUGGGGGUGAUAUUGUGAGAAAUUAGAUGCUGGUCACUGUCAGGGGCCAAAGGGUUGACAAUGUACAGCUGUAGAGAGAACAAGUUCCCUCACUUACCACCAUUUUGUAAAUUGAAUCCACUAUAUGAAGCAUUUCCUCUUUAGUUAUAUAACCAUCAUCAUCCAAGUCAUACAGCUUAAAAGCCCCUGAAAAAAAUUUUUUUUUCACAUCUUGGAUUAAAAAAAUUAAUCGAUACAAAACCUCUCAUAGAUAUUUGUCUGUCAGACAAUGGGCUUAUAGACUUAGAAUUGAUUAUUUUAAGUAGUUUUAUGAAUUAUCAAUAUUUCACUUUUCAUCUCCCUCACAGUUCCCCACACUUGACAAAAAGGUAAAUAUGGGCUAGGUAUUACUACUGACACAGUUAAUAACCUCAUAUUAGAAAAGUACAAGUCACUUACACUGCAGUUUUUCAUCAAUACUUCCUCUUGAGGUUACUGACAGAGCACAAAUAAACUCUCUAAAUUCAAUAGUUCCAUCCUAAGGAGAAAAUAACAAAAAUGCCAGCUUUUUACCAUGUGAAAAUCAGUGAUAAGAUUCAUCUGUAUUAACCCAUACACUCCUAGGAUCUAAAUAUUUAUGAAAUGUAAUGUCUGUUGUCUAUUCUCAUGAUUUUGGGACUGAAGAUGUGGUUUGAAAUAAAAAAAAUAUUACUGUUCUGCCAGAAAAUGGAUUAGUGUUGGAGGGAGAAUUAGGGUCAAAAAAGAUUCUUCAAAUUUAAGUUUGACCUCAUUGGGAUAUUAAUCUUAUGGCAAAUCUUGAUCACGAGGGAAAUCUGGAAUUUAUACCUAUA